GCCGGGCUUAGUAACGUAGGCCUAUAACCCAAGUGGGGGCAUUAAAGUUAUCGAAUAGGUUGUUGAAAAAAAAAACUAAAAAACGAAAACUAAAAAAAAAAAUUUCCACGUUUCCACACAGAAAAGACAAAAAAUUAAAAAUCACAACAACCUAGACGAUACCUUUUAUUGUUUUUCUUUUUUCCCUAUAAGCUACCGUUUAAUUAUUAUUUGAGAUAACCAUUGUCUUACUUCUUUGCAUUUCAAUAUUAGGUAAAGCUAAA
rnacentral:lncRNA from 1 species